rnacentral:rRNA from 1 species
UACGAAGGGGGCUAGCGUUGCUCGGAAUUACUGGGCGUAAAGCGCACGUAGGCGGCUUUGUAAGUUAGAGGUGAAAGCCCAGGGCUUAACCCUGGAAUUGCCUUUAAGACUGCAUCGCUAGAAUCGUGGAGAGGUGAGUGGAAUUCCGAGUGUAGAGGUGAAAUUCGUAGAUAUUCGCAAGAACACCAGUGGCGAAGGCGGCUCACUGGUCCAUAACUGACGCUGAGGCACGAAAGCGUGGGGAGCAAACAGG